rnacentral:piRNA from 1 species
UGUGCUGUAGGAAUGAUCACAUGUCCCGCU